rnacentral:rRNA from 1 species
AAAGGAAUAGACGGGGACCCGCACAAGCGGUGGAGCAUGUGGUUUAAUUCGAAGCAACGCGAAGAACCUUACCAAAUCUUGACAUCCUCUGACCGCCAUGGAGACAUGGCUUCCCUUCGGGGCAGAGUGACAGGUGGUGCAUGGUUGUCGUCAGCUCGUGUCGUGAGAUGUUGGGUUAAGUCCCGCAACGAGCGCAACCCUUAAACUUAGUUGCCAGCAUUCAGUUGGGCACUCUAAGUUGACUGCCGGUGACAAACCGGAGGAAGGUGGGGAUGACGUCAAAUCAUCAUGCCCCUUAUGAUUUGGGCUACACACGUGCUACAAUGGACAGGUUACAAAGGGCAGCAACGCCGCAAGGCCAAGCGAAUCCCAUAAAACUGUUCUCAGUUCGGAUUGGAGUCUGCAACUCGACUCCAUGAAGCUGGAAUCGCUAGUAAUCGUGGAUCAGCAUGCCACGGUGAAUACGUUCCCGGGUCUUGUACACACCGCCCGU